rnacentral:rRNA from 1 species
AUACGUAGGGUGCGAGCGUUGUCCGGAAUUACUGGGCGUAAAGAGCUCGUAGGUGGUUUGUCGCGUCGUCUGUGAAAUUCCGGGGCUUAACUCCGGGCGUGCAGGCGAUACGGGCAUAACUUGAGUACUGUAGGGGAGACUGGAAUUCCUGGUGUAGCGGUGAAAUGCGCAGAUAUCAGGAGGAACACCGGUGGCGAAGGCGGGUCUCUGGGCAGUAACUGACGCUGAGGAGCAAAAGCAUGGGUAGCGAACAGGAUUAGAUACCCUGGUAGUCCAUGCCGUAAACGGUGGGCGCUAGGUGUAGGGGUCUUCCACGACUUCUGUGCCGUAGCUAACGCAUUAAGCGCCCCGCCUGGGGAGUACGGCCGCAAGGCUAAAACUCAAAUGAAUUGACGGGG